CAGCAAAUCUGAACAAAAUGUUUUCUACUUCAGUACAUAUAUUCUUACCCACUUUGUGUUUGAAACCCAACUAGUUCACACAAUCAAGGCAACUGGGCUUUUGACAAAGUUUGGAUGAACAACUCACAAAAUGUGGCUAAUGGAUAAGUUUGGGAUGCAUAGCAAGCAGAUAAGCCUUGGCUGGACUGUAAGCAUCAGCCUGAAAUCAUGAACUUAAAAGGAAAACAUUCUCCUUUUGUAGAGUAAAACUGAUAAUUCCACUUUCAACCCACCCAAAGAGCAACUUACCUUUUCCAAUUUAACUUUACAAUACUACUUAGUCAUGAGGUAAGGAUUUAAAAGCUUUGGAAGAGAAACUUAAGAUUUCUUCUGACUCUCCACCCCUCUUUUUCAUUCACUUAAAAGAAAGCUAGGCCUGAAAGGAUUCUAAAACAAUCAUGUAACCUCAAAUACACACACACAUAUAUAUGUAUACAUGUACUUUAUAUGAAGAAAUUCAGGUUAAGGUCCAGGGACUGACCAAAUUGACCUGCCAAACGUAUACCCUUUAUAAAGUCUUCUUGGGUGUCGACAGUAGGGUUUGUUCCUUUCCUUU
rnacentral:lncRNA from 1 species